rnacentral:lncRNA from 8 species
GUGGGUGGAAGCUCAUCGUAGAGGUCACAUGCAGAGUGCUAGUCACUUAACCAAUCACCUUGGGGAAGGUCUGAGACAGGAGCCAAUGACUGCCCUAGCAGGGCAUCACCCUCUCUGGGUGAAUGAGUGCACAGAGAAUAUUGGCUGUUGUGAGCUGUCUUCACAGGAGAAACACCCCAGUGUAGCUCUCCAGC